rnacentral:rRNA from 2 species
CUAGUCGCACGAGUUCAGACUCGUGGCGAAUAGCUCAGUAACACGUGGCCAAACUACCCUUCGGAACACAAUACCCUCGGGAAACUGAGGCUAAUAGUGUAUAUCGUACCACCACUGGAAUGAGUGGUACGCCAAACGCUCCGGCGCCGAAGGAUGUGGCUGCGGCCGAUUAGGUAGACGGUGGGGUAACGGCCCACCGUGCCAAUAAUCGGUAUGGGUCAUGAGAGUGAGAACCCAGAGACGGAAUCUGAGACAAGAUUCCGGGCCCUACGGGGCGCAGCAGGCGCGAAACCUUUACACUGCACGACAGUGCGAUAGGGGGAUCCCAAGUGCACAGGCAUAGCGCCUGUGCUUUUCGGUACCCUAAGGCGGUACCAGAAUAAGGGCUGGGCAAGACCGGUGCCAGCCGCCGCGGUAAUACCGGCAGCCCAAGUGAUGGCCGAUCUUAUUGGGCCUAAAGCGUCCGUAGCUGGCCGCGCAAGUCCAUCGGGAAAUCCACCUGCUCAACAGGUGGGCGCCCGGUAGAAACUGCGUGGCUUGGGACCGGAAGGCGCGACGGGUACGUCCGGGGUAGGAGUGAAAUCCCGUAAUCCUGGACGGACCGCCGAUGGCGAAAGCACGUCGCGAGAACGGAUCCGACAGUGA